AGUGAACGCUGGCGGUAGGCCUAACACAUGCAAGUCGAACGGCAGCACAGUAAGAGCUUGCUCUUACGGGUGGCGAGUGGCGGACGGGUGAGGAAUACAUCGGAAUCUACUUUUUCGUGGGGGUUACGGAGGGGAAAUUAACGUAAAACCCCAUAACGCCCAAGGGGUGAAGGAGGGGGUCUUUCGGACUUUCCCGGAUGAAUUAGGCGAUGUCGGAUUAGCUAGUUGGCGGGGUAAAGGCCCACCAAGGCGACGAUCCGUAGCUGGUCUGAGAGGAUGAUCAGCCACACUGGAACUGAGACACGGUCCAGACUCCUACGGGAGGCAGCAGUGGGGAAUAUUGGACAAUGGGCGCAAGCCUGAUCCAGCCAUACCGCGUGGGUGAAGAAGGCCUUCGGGUUGUAAAGCCCUUUUGUUGGGAAAGAAAAGCAGCAGGUUAAUACCCCGCUGUUCUGACGGUACCCAAAGAAUAAGCACCGGCUAACUUCGUG
rnacentral:rRNA from 1 species